rnacentral:rRNA from 1 species
CACGUACCGGACGAACGUUAUUCGGAAUUACUGGGCUUAAAGAGUACGUAGGCGGCUUUGUAGGUGAGGUGUGAAAUCCCACGGCUUAACCGUGGAAUGGCGCUUCAAACCACAAGGCUUGAGGGAGACAGGGGUGAGCGGAACAGAUGGUGGAGCGGUGAAAUGCGUUGAUAUCAUCUGGAACACCGGUGGCGAAGGCGGCUCACUGGGUCUCUUCUGACGCUGAGGUACGAAAGCUAGGGUAGCGAACGGG